AGAGUUUGAUCAUGGCUCAGAUUGAACGCUGGCGGCAGGCCUAACACAUGCAAGUCGAACGGUAACAGGAAGCAGCUUGCUGCUUUGCUGACGAGUGGCGGACGGGUGAGUAAUGCCUGGGAAACUGCCUGAUGGAGGGGGAUAACUACUGGAAACGGUAGCUAAUACCGCAUAACGUCGCAAGACCAAAGAGGGGGACCUUCGGGCCUCUUGCCAUCGGAUGUGCCCAGAUGGGAUUAGCUAGUAGGUGGGGUAACGGCUCACCUAGGCGACGAUCCCUAGCUGGUCUGAGAGGAUGACCAGCCACACUGGAACUGAGACACGGUCCAGACUCCUACGGGAGGCAGCAGUGGGGAAUAUUGCACAAUGGGCGCAAGCCUGAUGCAGCCAUGCCGCGUGUAUGAAGAAGGCCUUCGGGUUGUAAAUACCUUUUCAGCGGGGAGGAAGGGAGUAAAGUUAAUACCUUUGCUCAUUGACGUUACCCGCAGAAGAAGCACCGGCUAACUCCGUGCCAGCAGCCGCGGUAAUACGGAGGGUGCAAGCGUUAAUCGGAAUUACUGGGCGUAAAGCGCACGCAGGCGGUUUGUUAAGUCAGAUGUGAAAUCCCCGGGCUCAACCUGGGAACUGCAUCUGAUACUGGCAAGCUUGAGUCUCGUAGAGGGGGGGUAGAAUUCCAGGUGUAGCGGGUGAAAUGCGUAGAGAUCUGGAGGAAUACCGGUGGCGAAGGCGGCCCCCUGGACGAAGACUGACGCUCAGGUGCGAAAGCGUGGGGAGCAAACAGGAUUAGAUACCCUGGUAGUCCACGCCGUAAACGAUGUCGACUUGGAGGUUGUGCCCUUGAGGCGUGGCUUCCGGAGCUAACGCGUUAAGUCGACCGCCUGGGGAGUACGGCCGCAAGGUUAAAACUCAAAUGAAUUGACGGGGGCCCGCACAAGCGGUGGAGCAUGUGGUUUAAUUCGAUGCAACGCGAAGAACCUUACCUGGUCUUGACAUCCACAGAACUUUCCAGAGAUGGAUUGGUGCCUUCGGGAACUGUGAGACAGGUGCUGCAUGGCUGUCGUCAGCUCGUGUUGUGAAAUGUUGGGUUAAGUCCCGCAACGAGCGCAACCCUUAUCCUUUGUUGCCAGCGGUCCGGCCGGGAACUCAAAGGAGACUGCCAGUGAUAAACUGGAGGAAGGUGGGGAUGACGUCAGGUCAUCAUGGCCCUUACGACCAGGGCUACACACGUGCUACAAUGGCGCAUACAAAGAGAAGCGACCUCGCGAGAGCAAGCGGACCUCAUAAAGUGCGUCGUAGUCCGGAUUGGAGUCUGCAACUCGACUCCAUGAAGUCGGAAUCGCUAGUAAUCGUGGAUCAGAAUGCCACGGUGAAUACGUUCCCGGGCCUUGUACACACCGCCC
rnacentral:rRNA from 1 species